rnacentral:tRNA from 1 species
UCCAUUGCUCAGUUGGUAAAGCACAAAGCUCUUAACCUUGUGGACGUGGGUUCAAGCCCUACGAGGGAA